rnacentral:misc_RNA from 1 species
AAUCUUCAAAACCAUUGUGUUUUGGAUUAUGGGAGUGUCUGCUGGCUUUACCUACAAGUCAGCUCUCCUGAAAAACAUUAGCUUGGGGGGAUGUGCCAACUCAACUCUACCUCUGAUUGGUGUGAUAGAUACAUUUAUCUACACCAGGAAGGGUUUGAAGCAGUUUGGCUCUCUCUGCUCUCUAGUAAAAAGGUUCUAUAACCA